rnacentral:rRNA from 1 species
UACGUAGGGGGCAAGCGUUGUCCGGAAUCAUUGGGCGUAAAGCGCGUGUAGGCGGCCCGGCAAGUCUGGUGUGAAAUCUUGAGGCUCAACCUCAAGCUGUCGCUGGAUACUGUCGGGCUCGAGUCCGGAAGAGGCGAGUGGAAUUCCUGAUGUAGCGGUGAAAUGCGCAGAUAUCAGGAGGAACACCAAUGGCGAAGGCAGCUCGCUGGGACGUGACUGACGCUGAGACGCGAAAGCGUGGGGAGCAAACAGG